rnacentral:rRNA from 1 species
GUUAUAUGGUCAAGUGAAGAAGCGCAUACGGUGGAUGCCUUGGCAGUCAGAGGCGAU